AUUAAUAAUAUUGUUUUAUAUUAUUUUAGUUUAUUAUAAAGAUAGAAUUAGAUUAAUUCAUAGUAUAUUUGAUAGAUUAGAUGAUUUUUACUAUAAUUAAAAGUAUUGUGAGAGAAUUAAGAUAAAAUAAGUAGAAGAUGAUUUUAUGAAUUGUAUCUUGUGUUUCAGAAUAAAUUUAAAUUAAUCAUAAAUAUUUUUUUUUCGAAUUUAAAAGAUUUAAUUAAAUAUUUAAUUUAUUGUUUUAAAAAUAUAAGAAAUAUUUAAUUGGAAAUGAGAUGUUAUUCGUUUUUAAUGAUAUCUAGUUUUUUAAUAAAUAAAUUCAAUUUAUAAAUUAAAACUUAUUUUAUAUUUAAUAUGAAAGUAUUUUUUAAUUUAACUUUUAUUAGGGAUAAGCUUAAUAAAAAAUUUUUAUAAUAUAUUAGGUAAUAAAGAUUAUGUAAAUUUAGAAUUUGUUAUUAUGAGAGGAUGUAAAAAUUUAAUUUUUAUUAAAAGUAAUUUUAUAAUUAUUUAAAGUUUAUAUUAAAAUAUUAAAAAUAAUAAUAAUUUUUUUGAAAAAAUGAUUUAAUUAGUAGAUAAAUAAAUUUAAAAUUUAAUUUAAAAAUGAAAAUUUAAUAUGAAGAAUUAGGCAAAUAUUUUACUCGCCUGUUUAUUAAAAACAUGGUUUCUUGUAAAAAUAAGAGAUUUAACCUGCCCACUGAAAAAUUAAAUGGCCGCAGUAAUUUGACUGUGCGAAGGUAGCAUAAUCAUUAGUUUUUUAAUUGAAAACUAGAAUGAAUGGUUGGACGAGGUAAAUUCUGUUUUAUAAUAAUAAAUUGAAUUUAUAGAUUAAGUAAAAAAACUUAAAUAUAUUUAAGGGACGAGAAGACCCUAUAGAGUUUAAUAAAUUAACUUUUAAUUGAGUUUAUAAGAAAUUUUUGAUUAUAGGAAUAUUUAUUUUAUUGGGGAGAUAAAAAAAUAAUAAAAACUUUUUUUUAAUUUGAAUUUGCAUAAGUAGUUUAUUGAUCCAUGAAUAAUGAUAAUAAGAUAAAAUUACCUUAGGGAUAACAGCAUAAUUUUCUUUAAAAGUUCAUAUUGAAAAGAAAGAUUAUGACCUCGAUGUUGGAUUAAGAUAAAAUUUGGGUGUAGAUGUUCAAAAGUUAGGUCUGUUCGACCUUUAAAAUCUUACAUGAUCUGAGUUUAAACCGGUGUAAGCCAGGUUGGUUUCUAUCUUUAAAAAGUUUUAAUAUUUUAGUACGAGAGGACCAUAUAUUAGAAAUAAUUUUAUUAUUUUUUGAUUUUUAUUAAUUAUAUG
rnacentral:rRNA from 1 species